UGGGGAAUAUUGGACAAUGGGCGCAAGCCUGAUCCAGCCACGCCGCGUGAGUGAUGAAGGCCUUCGGGUCGUAAAGCUCUGUGGGGAGGGACGAACCGCUGGGUAUUAAUACCAUCCAGCAUGACGGUACCUCCUUAGCAAGCACCGGCUAACUUCGUGCCAGCAGCCGCGGUAAUACGAAGGGUGCAAACGUUGCUCGGAAUUAUUGGGCGUAAAGCGCACGUAGGCGGCUCUAUAAGUCGGAUGUGAAAACCCUCGGCUCAACCAAGGAAGUGCAUUCGAAACUGCAGAGCUUGAGUACUUAAGAGGAUCGCGGAAUUCCCGGUGUAGAGGUGAAAUUCGUAGAUAUCGGGAGGAACACCAGUGGCGAAGGCGGCGAUCUGGGAAGAUACUGACGCUGAGGUGCGAAAGCGUGGGGAGCAAACAGG
rnacentral:rRNA from 1 species